rnacentral:rRNA from 1 species
AUUAAACGCUGGCGGCAUGCCUUACACAUGCAAGUCGAACGGCAGCACGGGGGCAACCCUGGUGGCGAGUGGCGGACGGGUGAGUAAUACAUCGGAACGUGCCCUGGAGUGGGGGAUAACGCAGCGAAAGCUACGCUAAUACCGCAUAUUCUGUGAGCAGGAAAGCAGGGGAUCGCAAGACCUUGCGCUUUGGGAGCGGCCGAUGUCGGAUUAGCUAGUUGGUGGGUAAAGGCCUACCAAGGCGACGAUCCGUAGCGGGUCUGAGGGGAUGAUCCGCCACACUGGGACUGAGACACGGCCCAGACUCCUACGGGAGGCAGCAGUGGGGAAUUUUGGACAAUGGGCGGAAGCCUGAUCCAGCCAUGCCGCGUGAGUGAAGAAGGCCUCGGUUGUAAG